rnacentral:rRNA from 1 species
UACAGAGGUCUCGAGCGUUAGGCGGAAUCACUGGGCUUAAAGCGUGUGUAGGCGGAUCGGUAAGUACCUUGUGAAAUCCCACAGCUUAACUGUGGAACUGCUUGGUAUACUGCCGGUCUUGAGCCAGCUAGGGGCUACCGGAACAAAUGGUGGAGCGGUGAAAUGCGUAGAUAUCAUGUGGAACGCCAAUGGUGAAAACAGGUAGCUGGGGCUGUGCUGACGCUGAGACACGAAAGCCAGGGGAGCAAACGGG